GUCCCUUUCAAUUUUACAGCAGAUUUUUGCUAGGAGUUUGCCUAAAUGAAAUAGGAUGGAUUGGUAUUGAUAGAAUUUCUAAUCCUACAUGAACUCUUGCUUCUUUGGAGUAUUUUAGGAGACCACUACCGCUCCUCUUAACAAAAGUUGUUCUUCAACGAUCUUUUCAUGUCAGGCAACACGCAAGGCUUCAGAGUUUUUGUAGGUAUCAUUGCCCCUUCUACUCCAAUGGCAAUGAUUGGCUUAAAUCAUUGCCAAUGAAUGUGUUCCUUUUACCCCAAUGGCUUGAAUUCAGUGAAUGGGUUUCUUUCACCCCAAUGACUUGAAUCCUUGACAGUGACUAGGCUCCUUUCACCCCAAUAGCUUAAAUCCUUAGUAGUGAAUGCGCUCAUUUCACCCCAAUGGCUUAGAUCGUUGGCAGUGAAUGUGCUCCUUUCACCCCAACGGCUUGGAUCCUUAGCAGUGAAUUGAUUCCUUUCACUGGGCGUGCUAGAAUUUGUAGACAAAAAUUUGGAAACGUGAAGUGUUUCAACAUAUUUCAAAAUUCAUGUUACAAGGUCCACUGUUUAGUUUUUGGACUAAAUAGUGUUGAUUAUUUGAA